rnacentral:rRNA from 1 species
UAACCUGCCCAAGAGAUCGGGAUAACACCUGGAAACAGAUGCUAAUACCGGAUAACAACAGAUGAUGCCUAUCAACUGUUUAAAAGAUGGUUCUGCUAUCACUAUUGGAUGGACCUGCGGUGCAUUAGCUAGUUGGUAGGGUAACGGCCUACCAAGGCGAUGAUGCAUAGCCGAGUUGAGAGACUGAUCGGCCACAUUGGGACUGAGACACGGCCCAAACUCCUACGGGAGGCAGCAGAC